AUACGGAGGGUGCGAGCGUUAAUCGGAAUUACUGGGCGUAAAGGGUCCGUAGGCGGUCUGCUUAGUCUGAUGUGAAAGCCCCGGGCUUAACCUGGGAAUGGCAUUGGAUACUGGCGGACUGGAGUCUGGUAGAGGGUGGUGGAAUUCCCGGUGUAGCGGUGAAAUGCGUAGAGAUCUGGAGGAACACCAGUGGCGAAGGCGGCUACCUGGACCAAAACUGACGCUGAGGUACGAAAGCGUGGGGAGCAAACAGGAUUAGAAACCCCAGUAGUCC
rnacentral:rRNA from 1 species